rnacentral:rRNA from 1 species
UACCUGCAGCUCGAGUGGUAACCGCUAUUAUUGGGCCUAAAGCGUCCGUAGCCGGUUUGGUAAAUAUCUGGGUAAAUCGUGAGGCUUAACUUCACGAAUUUCGGAUAGACUGCCAGACUUGGGAUCGGGGGAGGUCAGAGGUACUCCAGGGGUAGCGGUGAAAUGUUGUAAUCCUUGGAGGACCACCGGUAGCGAAGGCGUCUGACUAGAACGAGUCCGACGGUGAGGGACGAAGCCCUGGGGCGCAAACCGGAUUAGAUACCCGGGUAGUCCAGGGUGUAAACGAUGUGGGCUUUGUAUUGGAGGUCCCACGUGGGCGUCCAGUGCAGAAGAGAAGUUGUUAAGCCCACCGCCUGGGAAGUACGGUCGCAAGGCUGAAACUUAAAGGAAUUAGGCGGGGGAGCACAGCAACGGGAGGAGCGUGCGGUUU